AUUUCAUUUAUGAUGUCACUGACUUCACAAUAAAGCCUGUUACUUGCAUACUGGUAGAAGAGUUUAUAUCUCAUUGGUGCCACCACUGGUGUCUGAAUAACAUCAACCAUCAUAACAGAUUAUGACCAACUGAAUACUUUGUUCUACCUGACGCUGAAAACUUAAAAACGAAUGAUGGUGCGGCAAGUACGCCGGUACAGCAGAAAUGAGAGAGCACUUCGCCUGAGGCGAUUAAGACGAAGGAGGAAAAGUGCUAGAAGACUCAAUAGGAGGCAGAAGAGAGGCAGACGCCAAUCCCAUUACCGCAGGAGCUCAUUGUCACCCUAGCUACUUUCACUUCCUGAAGUAGGACAGCUGCGGCUCACAUAAACAAAUAUGUUGGGAGAUCAGGACCAUGGCAGAGAAACAUGACACAUCAAGCAGCUGCAAGCAUUAGUGCCAAGCAAUAAACCAUCUGAGUACCGCUCA